rnacentral:rRNA from 1 species
UACAGAGGGUGCAAACGUUGUUCGGAAUUACUGGGCGUAAAGCGCGUGUAGGCGGCCCUGCAAGUCGGAUGUGAAAUCCCACGGCUCAACCGUGGAAGUGCAUUCGAAACUGCGGGGCUGGAGUACUGGAGAGGGAGGUGGAAUGCUCGGUGUAGAGGUGAAAUUCGUAGAUAUCGAGCGGAACACCGGUGGCGAAGGCGGCCUUCUGGACAGUAACUGACGCUGAGACGCGAAAGCGUGGGGAGCAAACAGG